rnacentral:tRNA from 1 species
CUGGAAGUAGUUUAAAAAGAAUUUUGGCCUUGGGUGCCAUUGGCGAGGGUGAAAAAUCCUCCUUCUUGA